AUGCAGAUUUAUUGUUUAACACAGUUUUAUGUAUAUAUAUGCUUACUUCAUCACAGUCUCUCGUCCGUGCGUUCUCCCUCUAGAAUUCGUUACUUAAAACCAAAAAGAACACCAUGCCGUUUUCACAUUGACUCUUCACACGUUCCCACAUUUACGCCAUAUAAACUACCCUUAGUUAAAGCCUAGGAAAAUUGAAUUAUAGACCAACAUUAGCGGUUAGAAUAAUUGACGUUUAAUUUACAUAAGUUUUUACUUUUUACUUAAAACGAACUUCGCAUGCGACUAUGCUGCUCCGACCUAACCUUCUCUUUGACCCUUCGGUUCACAUCACAGCAGCAAAAAUAAUUAACUAACCGAUAGUCUCUGGCUCAACCAAAUUUAGACGAAAAUGAUUUAUUGCCAAAAAAUUCGUAAACCUAAGACUCUGAUUAACAAAAUUUUAGUGUUAGAUACAUAGUCAUCAUAAGAUUGGA